GCUUCGUGAGCCGCGGGCGCCGCAUGGAAGGGCCAGCGCGCAACGGAUAAAAGCUACCCUGGGGAUAACAGGCUUAUCUCCCCCAAGCGUCCACAUCGACGGGGAGGUUUGGCACCUCGAUGGCGGCUCGUCGCAUCCUGGGGCUGUAGUCGGUCCCAAGGGUUGGGCUGUGCGCCCAUUAAAGCGGCACGCGAGCUGGGUGCAGAACGUCGUGAGACAGUUCGGUCCCUAUC
rnacentral:rRNA from 1 species